UAUAAUGGGUCAGCGACUUAUAUUCUGUAGCAAGGUUAACCGUAUAGGGGAGCCGCAGGGAAACCGAGUCUUAACUGGGCGUUAAGUUGCAGGGUAUAGACCCGAAACCCGGUGAUCUAGCCAUGGGCAGGUUGAAGGUUGGGUAACACUAACUGGAGGACCGAACCGACUAAUGUUGAAAAAUUAGCGGAUGACUUGUGGCUGGGGGUGAAAGGCCAAUCAAACCGGGAGAUAGCUGGUUCUCCCCGAAAGCUAUUUAGGUAGCGCCUCGUGAACUCAUCUUCGGGGGUAGAGCACUGUUUCGGCUAGGGGGUCAUCCCGACUUACCAACCCGAUGCAAACUACGAAUACCGAAGAAUGUUAUCACGGGAGACACACGGCGGGUGCUAACGUCCGUCGUGAAGAGGGAAACAACCCAGACCGCCAGCUAAGGUCCCAAAGUCAUGGUUAAGUGGGAAACGAUGUGGGAAGGCACAGACAGCCAGGAUGUUGGCUUAGAAGCAGCCAUCAUUUAAAGAAAGCGUAAUAGCUCACUGGUCGAGUCGGCCUGCGCGGAAGAUGUAACGGGGCUAAACCAUGCACCGAAGCUGCGGCAGCGACACUAUGUGUUGUUGGGUAGGGGAGCGUUCUGUAAGCCUGCGAAGGUGACCUGUGAGGGUUGCUGGAGGUAUCAGAAGUGCGAAUGCUGACAUAAGUAACGAUAAAGCGGGUGAAAAGCCCGCUCGCCGGAAGACCAAGGGUUCCUGUCCAACGUUAAUCGGGGCAGGGUGAGUCGACCCCUAAGGCGAGGCCGAAAGGCGUAGUCGAUGGGAAACAGGUUAAUAUUCCUGUACUUGGUGUUACUGCGAAGGGGGGACGGAGAAGGCUAUGUUAGCCGGGCGACGGUUGUCCCGGUUUAAGCAUGUAGGCUGGUUAUCCAGGCAAAUCCGGAUAAUCAAGGCUGAGGUGUGAUGACGAGGCACUACGGUGCUGAAGUAACAAAUGCCCUGCUUCCAGGAAAAGCCUCUAAGCAUCAGGUAACAUCAAAUCGUACCCCAAACCGACACAGGUGGUCAGGUAGAGAAUACCAAGGCGCUUGAGAGAACUCGGGUGAAGGAACUAGGCAAAAUGGUGCCGUAACUUCGGGAGAAGG
rnacentral:rRNA from 1 species